rnacentral:miRNA from 1 species
AGGCGUGGGGGGCCUUGGCCCG